rnacentral:rRNA from 1 species
CAGUAAGGAUGACUAAAAAGUUAUCAAGCGCAAUAGAUCCCGUACCGCAAGGGAAAGAUGAAAUAAAUGAAACACUAAAGCACUAAACAGUAGAGGGGCCCCUCGUACCUUUUGCAUCAUGAUUUAACUAGUCUAAGCAAGCACAAUGAAUUAAAGUUUGAAACCCCGAAACUGAGUGAGCUACUUCACGGCAGCAAACGAGCAAACCCUUCUCUGUUGCAAAAGAGUGGGAAGACCGUCAAGUAGCGGCGACACACCUAACGAACUCAGUGAUAGCUGGUUUCUCAAAAAAAGAAUCUUAGUUCACCCUAAAGCCACCAUAAUAACAUAAAUAAUAAUGUAACUUUAGAGCAAUCCAAACAAGGUACAGCCUGUUUGAAAAAGGAUACAACCUUCACUCGCGGGUAAUGUCAUCAACCCCUACUAAGUGGGCCUAAAAACAGCCACCCUUUAAAAUGCGUUAAAGCUUCAUCUCCACAAACACACCCUACCCACCCUGACCCCCCAAUUACUAUUGAGAACUUCUAUACCAUAUUGAAACUUUAAUGUUAAAACUAGUAACAAGAAACUAUUCUCUUAAAUACACGUGUAAGUUAGAACGGACCUCCCACUAACACUUACCCCGCUGUGAGAAAUAAUAAUAACCCGUUUAAAAAAUUCUAUUAAUUAUUCUGUUAACCCUACACAAGAGUACUUCAAGAAAGAUAAAAAUGGAAAGAAGGAACUCGGCAAACCCAGAUCCCGCCUGUUUACUAAAAACACCGCCUCUUGACUUCUAUAAGAGGUCCAGCCUGCCCAGUGAAAAUUUCAACGGCCGCGGUAACCUGACCGUGCAAAGGUAGCGUAAUCACUUGUUUUUUAAAUAAAGACUAGUAUGAAUGGCACCACGAGGAUCAAACUGUCUCCUUUCCACAAUCAGUGAAACUAAUCUCCUAGUGAAAAAGCAAGGAUGUUACUGUAAGACGAAAAGACCCUGUGGAGCUUUAAACAAAUAACUAAUGCCAUACUUCCCCUCUUAUCCCGCACCUUAGUUACUAAUUUUGGUUGGGGUGACCGCGGAGAAAAAUCUAUCCUCCAUGACGAAUUCUUUAAACAAAACUACAGCUUUACUUCACAAUAAAUUGACGCACUGACCCAAUAACUU